GGACGCGCCGGUGACAAACCGGAGGAAGGUGGGGACGACGUCAAGUCAUCAUGGCCCUUAUGUCCUGGGCUACACACGUGCUACAAUGGCCGGUACAGAGCGCAGCGAGGCCGCGAGGCGGAGCGAAUCGCUUAAAGCCGGUCCCAGUACGGAUUGGAGUCUGCAACCCGACUCCAUGAAGUUGGAAUCGCUAGUAAUCGCGCAUCAGCAUGGCGCGGUGAAUACGUUCCCGGGCCUU
rnacentral:rRNA from 1 species